rnacentral:rRNA from 1 species
AACACCCGAAGCCGGUGGGGUAACCGCAAGGAGCCAGCCGUCGAAGGUGGGGUAGAUGAUUGGGGUGAAGUCGUAACAAGGUAGCCGUAUCGGAAGGUGCGGCUGGAUCACCUCCUUUCUAAGGA